rnacentral:rRNA from 1 species
GAGGUAACGGCCCACCAAGGCGACGAUGGGUAGCCGGCCUGAGAGGGUGAACGGCCACAUUGGAACUGAGAAACGGUCCAAACUCCUACGGGAGGCAGCAGUGGGGAAUAUUGCACAAUGGAGGGAACUCUGAUGCAGCGACGCCGCGUGAACGAAGAAGGCUUUCGAGUCGUAAAGUUCUUUUAUAUUGGGAAGAUAAUGACGGUACCAUAANAAAAAGCCCCGGCUAACUACGUGCCAGCAGCCGCGGUAAUACGUAGGGGGCUAACGUUGUCCGGAAUCACUGGGCGUAAAGGGUUCGCAGGCGGAAAUGCAAGUCAGGUGUAAAAGGCAGUAACUUAACUACUGUAAGCAUUUGAAACUGCAUAUCUUGAGAAGAGUAGAGGUAAGUGGAAUUUUUAGUGUACGGUGAAAUGCGUAAUAUUAAAAAGAAUACCGGUGGCGAAGGCGACUUACUGGGCUCAUUCUGACGCUGAGGAACGAAAGCGUGGGUAGCAAACAGGAUUAGAUACCCCUGGUAGUCCAUGCUGUAAACGAUGAGUGNUAGGUAUCGGAAUAAUUCGGUGCCGCAGUUAACACAUUAAGCACUCCGCCUGGGGAGUACGUGCGCAAGCAUGAAACUCAAAGGAAUUGACGGGGACCCGCACAAGCAGCGGAGCAUGUGGUUUAAUUCGAAGCAACGCGAAGAACCUUACCAGGGCUUGACAUACUGAGGACCGGUAUAGAGAUAUACCCUCUUCUUCGGAAGCCUCAAUACAGGUGGUGCAUGGUUGUCGUCAGCUCGUGUCGUGAGAUGUUCAGUUAAGUCUGGCAACGAGCGCAACCCCUAUCUUUAGUUACCAGCAUUUCGGAUGGGGACUUCUAAAGAGACUGCCGAUGAUAAAUCGGAGGAAGGUGGGGAUGACGUCAAAUCAUCAUGCCCUAUAUGCCCUGGGCUACACACGUGCUACAAUGGAAGAUACAAAGGGGAAAAGGCCGAAAUAGUGAUAUUAAGCAAACCUCAAAAAGUCUUUCCCAGUUCGGAUUGUACUCUGCAACUCGAGUACAUGAAGAUGGAGUUGCUAGUAAUCGCAGAUCAGAAUGCUGCGGUGAAUGCGUUCCCGGGUCUUGUACACACCGCCCGUCACACCAUGGAAGCUUGUAAUACCCGAAGCCUGCGAGCAAACC